AAUAAAUUGAAAAGACCUCUGGAUGUGUAUGAGGUGUUUGCGGUAUGUGUUAGAGGCGAGGGAAGAAGACUCGUACCUCGGAUCGUCUUAACUGUAGUACCGCGGAAAGUCCACAUCGCUCAUUGCCGUUUGACACUGUUUCGAAACCGCCGCUUCGCUUCGCCACGUGAAGACGCGUAUUACGUACAGCGGAGGCGGCGGAUUUCAUCACACUUAAAUGUACCCAAUCCUCCGCCAUUAGGAAUAAGUAUAUUAUUUCCUGGUGACGAAGAACUGGCGAAAUUGCACUCUCGGCAGGUUGGCACUAAAAAACACCACAACACCACGGAAGAACCUGCGAGAUACAUGGACUUCGAUAUUUGGCGAUAUAUACGUCAACGUCGAAAUGGACUAGGACACCCUCUUAAGUCAGGAACCCGUUUGUCAUUAAUUCGAUCCGCUGAAAUUCAAAAAUUACGUCUGUAAUAUCGUAGGAUUAACAGCAUGCAGCGAGAAUGCGACGUUUCUUAGCGUUUUCGCUAUUAGAUUGCACGGAAGUCGUGGCCACGCCACAGCCUUAUUCGUAGCUUGCGUAACACCGCAGAGAGUGAUUCCAGAAAUAGGUCAGAGAAUUUUCUCUCGCAAUCUCUUG
rnacentral:lncRNA from 1 species